rnacentral:rRNA from 1 species
UAGCUGCCCGGGUGGAUGAGUGGCGAACGGGUGAGUAACACGUGAGUAACCUGCCCCCGACUUCGGGAUAAGCCCGGGAAACUGGGUCUAAUACCGAAUAUGACCGUUCCUCGCAUGAGGAAUGGUGGAAAGUUUUUUCGGUUGGGGAUGGGCUCGCGGCCUAUCAGUUUGUUGGUGAGGUAAUGGCUCACCAAGACGACGACGGGUAGCCGGCCUGAGAGGGCGACCGGCCACACUGGGACUGAGACACGGCCCAGACUCCUACGGGAGGCAGCAGUGGGGAAUAUUGCACAAUGGGGGAAACCCUGAUGCAGCGACGCAGCGUGCGGGAUGACGGCCUUCGGGUUGUAAACCGCUUUCAGUAGGGAAGAAGCCACCCUUUGGGUGGUGACGGUACCUGCAGAAGAAGUACCGGCUAACUACGUGCCAGCAGCCGCGGUAAUACGUAGGGUACGAGCGUUGUCCGGAAUUAUUGGGCGUAAAGAGCUCGUAGGUGGUUGGUCACGUCUGCUGUGGAAACGCAACGCUUAACGUUGCGCGUGCAGUGGGUACGGGCUGACUAGAGUGCAGUAGGGGAGUCUGGAAUUCCUGGUGUAGCGGUGAAAUGCGCAGAUAUCAGGAGGAACACCGGUGGCGAAGGCGGGACUCUGGGCUGUAACUGACACUGAGGAGCGAAAGCAUGGGGAGCGAACAGGAUUAGAUACCCUGGUAGUCCAUGCCGUAACGUUGGGCACUAGGUGUGGGGGACAUUCCACGUUCUCCGCGCCGUAGCUACGCAUUAGUGCCCGCUGGGGAGUACGUCGCAGGCUAAACUCAAGGAAUUGACGGGGGCCCGCACAAGCGGCGGAGCAUGCGGGAUUAAUUCGAAU